CGUGUUGAAAACAUUGUCGAGAGAUGUUGUGAGAUUUUGUUAUAUUGCAGUACAACAAGAUACGUUUAAUUUUAUCUUAAAGAUUGUCAAAAUCCUUGCUGAAUAUUUAACUGAGUUAUACUCCUGCGAGACCUUAGAACGAGAAUUAACGAGAUGCAAUGACAAGCAGAAGGGAUCAAGCAAGAGACCAGACAUCUUAAAGCCACUCCCCUUGGGGCUGACGCGUGGCACUUCCAUUGUCAUCCAUGCCAGCCUUGGGGAGCAAUCGAGAGGUCCAACCUGAACGAGUAACCCGAGCACAACUCUGUAUUGUGCAAGGAUGUUGAAAAGAGGAGGAGAAUAAAGUGGAGGAUAUGUUGCACAUGCAGAGGAUUGGACAGCUUGGCAUUGACAGUAACUUCAAGCAAACCCUGAAUACUGGAUAGUUGUAUCAUUCUGCCCUCUAUUGAACACAGCAUGCAAUUGCAGGAUAAACUACUGAAUUUUAGUACAAUUUAACCAUUUCUCACAUUUUCUACCUUAUCAUUUUUACCUCUUUACUUAUAGCAAUACAAUAGUUGCUUGAAACUUAAAAAAGGCACUUAAUUCCACAUGAUCUUCAAAUGUUUGGAAAAUGCUGGGAAAUUGCAAUUCACAAAGAGCGAGACAAUUCAAUUAAUUAUUCAAU